rnacentral:piRNA from 1 species
UGCAGAAAAGACCUUUGAAAGGUAUGGCC